AGAAGCAGCCAUACAUUCAAAGAGUGCGUAAUAGCUCACUAGUCGAGAGGUCCUGCGCCGAAAAUGUCCGGGGCUAAAACACAACACCGAAGCUUAGGAAUUCUUUUGAAUUGGUAGAGGAGCAUUGAAGACGGAACGAAGCCAUACCGGAAGGAAUGGUGGACUGUCUUGAAGAGAGAAUGCCGGAAUGAGUAGCGAGAUUGAAGUGAGAAUCUUCAAGGCCGAAUAUCUAAGGUUUCCAGGGUAAAGCUGAUCUGCCCUGGGUAAGUCGGGGCCUAAGGCAAGGUCGAAAGACGUAGUCGAUGGAUAACAGGUUGAAAUUCCUGUACUGCAUCAAAUCAGAAAUGUGGGGACACAUGAGGGAAGCAUGAGCCGGAAAAGGAAAGUCCGGUACAAGCGCAGCAGAGGACAGAUAGGAAAAACCGUCUGUCAACUCGAGGGCGUGAUGUGGAGCGAACCAAAGUAGCGAAGCAUGUGGAGCUUGUGUCGAGAAAAGCCGCUAUAGUGUUUGAUGUACCCGUACCGUAAACCGACACAGGUGGAUGAGGAGAGAAUCCUAAGGCCGGCGGAAGAAGCAUUGUUAAGGAACUCGGCAAAAUGACCCCGUAACUUCGGGAGAAGGGGUGCCUGCGAGAGCAGGCCGCAGAGAAUAGGCUCAAGCAACUGUUUAGCAAAAACACAGGUCUAUGCGAAACCGAAAGGUGAGGUAUAUGGGCUGACGCCUGCCCGGUGCUGGAAGGUUAAGAGGAGAGGUUAGCGCAAGCGAAGCUUUGAAUUUAAGCCCCAGUAAACGGCGGCCGUAACUAUAACGGUCCUAAGGUAGCGAAAUUCCUUGUCGGGUAAGUUCCGACCCGCACGAAAGGCGUAAUGAUUUGAGCACUGUCUCGACAAUGCAUCCGGUGAAAUUGAAGUACCAGUGAAGAUGCUGGUUACCCGCGCCAGGACGGAAAGACCCCAUGGAGCUUUACUCCAGUUUGAUACUGGGAUUCGGUACUGCAUGUACAGGAUAGGUGGGAGACGAAGAAGGAUGGACGCCAGUCUGUCCGGAGUCGCUGUUGGGAUACCACCCCUGUAGUACUGGGUUUCUAACCAGUUGCCAUGAACUGGCAAUGGGACAAUGUCAGGCGGGGAGUUUGACUGGGGCGGUCGCCUCCGAAAGGGUAUCGGAGGCGCUCAAAGGUUCCCUCAGAAUGGUUGGAAACCAUUCGAAGAGUGCAAAGGCAGAAGGGAGCUUGACUGCGACACCGACGGGUGGAGCAGGUACGAAAGUAGGACUUAGUGAUCCGGUGGUAUAAAGUGGGAUUGCCAUCGCUCAACGGAUAAAAGCUACCCUGGGGAUAACAGGCUUAUCACUCCCAAGAGUUCACAUCGACGGAGUGGUUUGGCACCUCGAUGUCGGCUCAUCGCAUCCUGGGGCUGUAGCAGGUCCCAAGGGUUGGGCUGUUCGCCCAUUAAAGCGGUACGCGAGCUGGGUUCAGAACGUCGUGAGACAGUUCGGUCCCUAU
rnacentral:rRNA from 1 species